AACGAACGCUGGCGGCAGGCCUAACACAUGCAAGUCGAGCGCCCGGAUUUAUCCGGGAGCGGCGCACGGGUGAGUAACGCGUGGGAACAUGCCCUGAAGUACGGAACAACCUGGGGAAACCUUGGCUAAUACCGUAUACGCCCUGAGGGGGAAAGAUUUAUCGCUUUGGGAUUGGCCCGCGUUGGAUUAGCUGGUUGGUGUGGUAACGGCGCACCAAGGCGACGAUCCAUAACUGGUCUGAGAGGAUGACCAGUCACACUGGGACUGAGACACGGCCCAGACUCCUACGGGAGGCAGCAGUGGGGAAUAUUGGACAAUGGGCGAAAGCCUGAUCCAGCCAUGCCGCGUGAGUGAAGAAGGCCUUCGGGUUGUAAAGCUCUUUCAGCGGGGACGAUGAUGACGGUACCCUCAGAAGAAGCCCCGGCGAACUUCGUGCCAGCCGCCGCGGUAA
rnacentral:rRNA from 1 species